GGAAUCGAAUCUGGAGAGAGACACCGGACGGCGCAUCGGCCGGCGUCCACCGAAGGGGCACGCGGCGCGCCAGCGCGCUGCAAUCUCUCAGGUACCGAGGACAGAGGGGUGCAA
rnacentral:ncRNA from 2 species